rnacentral:rRNA from 1 species
GUGGGGAAUUUUGGACAAUGGGCGCAAGCCUGAUCCAGCCAUGCCGCGUGUGUGAAGAAGGUCUUCGGAUUGUAAAGCACUUUAAGUUGGGAGGAAGGGCAGUAAGUUAAUACCUUGCUGUUUUGACGUUACCGACAGAAUAAGCACCGGCUAACUUCGUGCCAGCAGCCGCGGUAAUACGAAGGGUGCAAGCGUUAAUCGGAAUUACUGGGCGUAAAGCGCGCGUAGGUGGUUUUGUAAGUUGGAGGUGAAAUCCCCGGGCUCAACCUGGGAACUGCCUCCAAAACUGCAUGACUAGAGUACGGUAGAGGGUAGUGGAAUUUCCUGUGUAGCGGUGAAAUGCGUAGAUAUAGGAAGGAACACCAGUGGCGAAGGCGACUACCUGGACUGAUACUGACACUGAGGUGCGAAAGCGUGGGGAGCAAACAGGAUUAGAAACCCCGGUAGUCC